AUGCUGGAGCCUUUCAGCUCAGUAAAACACAGCUUUUUUUUAUCAAACAACACAUCAUGGAGACCGCAGUCGUGUCAGGAGUGUACCUGCUACAGCGACGUGGCCAUCUGCAGGCCCACCCACUGCCCCAACCCACAGUGUGACUUCCAGAAGGGCGAGCGUUUGAGGAUUCCUGCCAACAAGUGCUGUCCGGAGUGCAUCUCCUCAUCCCAGGGCUCCUGCCAGUACCAAGGAGUCAUUUAUGGACAUGACAGCCAGUGGAGUCCAUCGUCCUGCACCGUGUGUGUUUGCUCCAGAGAGAGUGUAUCUUGUAAUGCUCAUCCCUGUCCAAGUCUCACCUGCCCUGGGGACCAGAGCUUGUUCACCCCAGCUGGAGAAUGCUGUCCCAAGUGUGGCCGCAGUGGAGAGUCUUGCUCCUGGCAGGGGACUGUGUACAGAGACGGUGAAGAAUGGAAGCCUAGCCUCUGUUCCAGAUGUGUCUGCAGCAACGGGGAAGUCCAGUGCUUAGUUGCAGAGUGUCAGCAAGUAGCCUGCAAACCUCAUGAGAACUUGGUGAUCCAGCCAGGCCAGUGCUGUCCUCAGUGUGUGUCCAACCCCUGUCUGUCUGCUGGUAAACAGUACCAGCAUGGCGAGCAGUGGCAGAAGAACGCCUGCACCACAUGUGUGUGUGACCAGGGCCAGUCUAAAUGCCACACACACACCUGUCGACCAAUAGUCUGUGACAAGGGUCAGACCAAAGUGAAGCGGGCUGGUCAGUGCUGUGAUGAAUGUGCCGCUGCCAAGGGAAGCUGCCUGUACGAGGGUGCAGUGCGUUACCAUGGUGACAUGUGGAACGGCACGGGAUGUGAGUUCUGUGCCUGCAACCGGGGUCAGGUCCUGUGCCAGAGGGCAGAGUGCGGUCGUGUUGAGUGCCCGCAGGGAUCGGAGCUCAUUCACCUGCCGGGGAAGUGCUGCCCGGAGUGUUCCUCUGUGAAACCUUCCUGUAUGUACAAGGGGAAAUCCUACAAGGUACUUCUCGAUUGCCAGGAGUGUGAAUGCCGUGAGACCCAGGUGACUUGUUAUCUGCGUUCCUGUCCCACCUGCCCAUUGGGCACCCUGGCCAUCAUCCGGGAGGGCAAAUGCUGCCCAGAGUGUCAUCAAGUCCAGUGCCAUGCAGACUGCCUGUCAUGUUCGGGGACACCUGACCAAUGUGAGAGCUGCAGGGACCCAAAGGCCUUCCUCCAUCUUGGACACUGUCUAUCCGUCUGUCCAGCUGGCUACUACGCUGAAGGACGAGUAUGUGCAGCCUGCCAGUCAUCCUGUGCCACCUGUUCCAGCAGGUUGGACUGUCAGUCCUGUGGCUCCCAGCUGCCCCUGCUGAGUGCUGAUGCCGGCCAGUGCCUGGCCUCCUGUCCUCCUGGUUCCUACCAGCACGACCACGCACACUGUCGCCGCUGUCAUGAGUCGUGCUCAGAGUGCCGUGGGCCAAGCCAGCAGGAGUGUGUGUCAUGUUCAGACCCAGCUGCCUUGCUCAAAGACGGGGAAUGUGUUCCCGACUGUGACGCUGGUUUCUACAGUCAAGAAGGCGUCUGCUACGCCUGUGAUUCGUCCUGUGCCUCCUGUUUCCCUGACAACCCCAAGUGCAUGAGCUGUCUGCCGGGGACCGCCUUGCACCAUGGGAAAUGUAUUUCCCAGUGUCCUGUUCAGCAUUACCUGGACAACUACAGCAGAUGCAGAGCCUGCCAUAGCUCCUGCGCUUCCUGUUGGGGUCCCUCAGUAUCUCAGUGUACCUUAUGUCCAGGUGGGCUCCUUCUCCACCAAGGCCAGUGUGUGGAGGCCUGUGGGGAGGGACUCUACUCCCAGGACAACAGCUGCCACAAUUGUCAUCCCUCCUGUCGUUCCUGCGUGGGACCAUUGGCCUCAGACUGCCUUCACUGUCUUAAACCAGAGGAAGCCCUUCUGCUGCAGUCCAGUCACCUGCAGCACGGAGUCUGCACAGCUGGAUGCCCGGCACACAGCUUCCUGGAUUACAUGCAGACAUGCAGAGAGUGUCAUCCCUCCUGCUGGCUCUGUACUGGGCCAUCUGCGGACAACUGUACGUCCUGUCCCUCCCCAACCAACCUGCAUGAGGGCCGCUGUGUCCCCAGCUGCCCGCAAGGCUUCUUCACCCAGGAUAACCAAUGCCAAGCAUGCCACCCGUCCUGCCAGACUUGCUCCGGUCCCUCCCAAGCCGACUGCACCUCCUGUCCCCCAUUGGCGUCCCUACAGAGUGGCUACUGCAGGACGAGCUGUGAAGACGGACAUUUCCUCAACGCUGUCACUGGAGAGUGCCUCAAGUGUAGUUCAGACUGUCAGCGCUGCACAGCAGACCUCCAGACGGGCAUCGGCAGUGUUUGUCUGUGGUGUAAAGUGCCAAGGACCUUGCUGCUUGGCGAUCACUGCGUCUCCCACUGUCCCCGUGGCCACUACGGCUGGCACGGAGCCUGCAUCAGAUGCCAUCCGUCAUGUGGUGCCUGCAGUGGGGCGGGGCCUCUCUCCUGUACUUCCUGCCCCACCAACAGUGCUCUUUUGCCCUCGGGUCUUUGUGCUCCCAAAUGUCCCCUUGGUUACUAUGACAAUGGCCACAGGAUCUGUCAGGCGUGUGACAACCAGUGCCUGACGUGCGACAUGGCCGGAGUUUGUAUGUCCUGCCGCGACCCAGCCAAAGUCCUGCUGUUUGGAGAAUGCCAAUACGACAGUUGCGCCCAUCAGUACUACCUCAAUGCCACGACCCGGGCAUGCAGAGAGUGCGACUGGAGCUGCAAUGCCUGUAAAGGCCCCCUGCGUACAGACUGUCUGCUGUGCAUGGAGGGAUACGUGUUGCAGGACGGAGUGUGCACCCAGGGGUGCUCCCCUGGCUCCUAUCAGGAAGGAGACAAAUGCCUCGGCUGUGAUGAUCACUGUGUGGAGUGUCGGGGGCCCGGACAGUGUCAGCAAUGUCAGCCUCCCUACGCCACCCUGCAGGGUCAGUGUGUGCUUGAAUGUGGCAGAAACUACUUCCUGGACUCCUCCUCCCAAGUCUGCAAAUCUUGCUCCUCUGACUGUGUGCUGUGUGACGGGGUCGGGCACUGCAGAGCUUGUCGUGACCAAACCUACCUCAUGGAAGGAUACUGCACACCAGACUGUGGACAAGGAUACUACGCUGACCAGAAGACCAGGACUUGCCACGUGAACACACACCCCCCUGCCCUCCAGGUCAUCGGUUCUCUGCUGGUUCCCCUUGGUGGUUUUAUCCCGCUGCCCCCAACCCUGCUGCAGGUGAAGGACCCUGACAGUCCAUCUGACCGGCUGAUCUUCCAACUCGUUCAGGGCCCGAGUAACGGACGGCUGAUCCUGUUCAGAGGGAAGGAAGGAGCAGUGAAAGGAGGCCAAGGGAAGUCAGGCCGAGAACUGACCAUGGACGACACGUUCACCUGGGCGGAGCUGAGAACUGGCCGCGUCCGGUUCAGCCACCAAAAAGACAAAGCCAGGACUGGCGAGGUCACCUUGCGUGUCGCCGAUCCCCAGCUGUUUUCUCAGCCUGAAACAAUUCAAGUUCAAGCCUUGUCAAUGCAGCCUCCAAGAGUUGUGACUCUUGCUCCUUUAACCGUGGACAGCCGUGGCGCCCUGGCAACCAUCACCAAGUCAGUGCUGCAGGUCGACGACCCCGACAACCCAAGCGAUGUCCUGGUCAUGCUCCUUGAACCUCCCCGCUACGGCCGGCUGACCCGUCUCCACGGUGAUCGAGCACUCAGCCGAUUCAAGCUGGAGGAGUUGUCACGGGAACAGAUCCAGUACAUCCACGACGGCUCAGACAGGAUGGAGGACGGCAUGGUGCUGCAGGUCAAUGAUGGCCACAGCUACAAGAAUAUUCUCCUCCAAGUACACAUCAAUCAGAAGGUUGCUGACUCUCCUCACGUGCUGUCUGUGCCAAUGACCUGGGUAAAAGAAGGAGGCAUGGUACGACUUGACAAAAAAUACCUGCAGACGGAGUACAAGGGAGUCAGCCUUGACGACAUUGUCUACACUAUCGUCGCCUCGGAUGGAGAACCUAAAUAUGGUGAGGUUGUGCUGGUGUCCAUGCCAGCUGACGGCCCAGCAGAAGGGUGGCGGCCCUCGCUAACUGACGACAGAGGCUUCACACCCACAACUUCCUUCACACAACAAGAUGUCAACGACGGCACCGUUUGGUAUCGCCACUUUGGCAGCGGGACCAACGGUGACUCCUUCCAGUUCCAGGUUUCCACAGAAGCAGCCCCAAUCAUACAGAGCGAUGCCCAGACCUUCACCAUAGGAGUCCUGCCUCAGAUUCCAGGAUUCCCCCAGCUGGCCCCCGACUGCGACCUACAGAUCACGGCUCUGGAGGAUCGGGUGACUGAGAUAACACCUUCAGCUCUGUCUUUCGUUGACUCUGAGACUCCCAGCGAGAAGCUUAUCUACAACGUCACUAAAGCCCUUCCGCCAGGACAAGGUGCAAUCGAGCAUCGGGACAGACCGUACACACCGGUGAAACAUUUCACUCAGGCCGACGUCAAUAAUGGCAAGAUCAUCUACAGACCGCCACAGGCCCCUUCACACCUGCAGGAGCUCUACCAGUACUCCUUCAUCGGUGAGAUACACACACUCACACUCCAAGAACAUAAUAUAACUGUGAUUACAAUGAUGAUAGGUCCACUGCAUGGACUUAACGUAAACAGGCAAACACACACCACGGUUCACACCUUCUCCAUCCCCUCAGGUGACACCUUCACCUUCAGCGACGUCACCCGCAAUGUUCUGCUCUACCGACACACUGGCCUCUCCACCCAGGACGACGCCAUCACCUUCUCUGUUAGUGAUGGCAUCUCAAUGGCAACCACAGCGGUGCAGGUGGUGGUGUUGGGUGCUGGGGAUGAUGGGCCGCAACGGGACCCAGCAGCCACACUGUCAAUGGAAGUGGGCGAGAAAAGCAGCACUUUGAUCAGGCGCUCGCACCUGGCUUAUACUGACAACACGUCCCCAGACGACCAGAUUCAGAUCCAGUUGGUGUCAGUACCGAUGUACGGCAUCCUGACUAGGAGCCAGUCUCAGCAGGAACACCAGGAGCUGAGGGAGUACUCGUCUUUCACCAUGGAGGACAUCAGCAAGCACAGGAUCAGGUACAUCACUUCCUUAGAGACGGGCAGCCAGCCGGUCACCGACAUCUUCCACUUCGUUGUUUAUGACGGCGACAACAAUCGUCUUGACAACCAGAUGUACACCAUCACCAUCACCUCCACACCCAGACAGCCGCCGGUGGUUACAGUCCGCAGUGGCAUCAAGGUUCAGGAAGGUGGCCGAGUGCAGCUGUCUACCAAUCACAUCAUAGUGUCGGACCUGGACACGCCCCAGAAGGACCUGCUAGUUUGGCUCGUCAGUCCUCCAAAGUAUGGCUUCAUCGAAAACACCAACACAGGUUCAGUUGGCGGCUCGCGAGUCGUCACCCCUGAUGUGCCAUUCUCUGUGGAGGACCUGACGUCAGACCACAUCUUCUACGUCCAGGACAGCCAGCAAAAAUCUCAGGCCAAACAGGACGUCUUCAGCUUCUACAUCAGCGAUGGACACAGCCAGACAGAGGCUUUCAACGUCGAAAUUGACAUCCAGCAGAGUAAAGAGGACAGAGAGCCUGUGGUGUCGGUCAGCAGCAUCCACGUGGAGGAAAACUCUGGAGUCGUCAUUACCAACUCGUCUCUCAGUGUCCUCGACCAGGACACACCAGAGAACGAGAUCCUCUUCACCAUCAUCAGGAAGCCUUCCUACGGCAAACUCCGCAGACGGCUGUUCUACUCUCAGCCACUGGAGAACGGCCGGGUCCUCACACAGGGCUCUACCUUCACCUACCAGGACGUCCUGGACCAGUUGCUGGUCUACACACCUGAAACCGUCAGCGGGGGAGCCGAUGAAAUGGGUUUCACCCUCACCGAUGGCAUCUUCACGUACACGGGCCGUCUGGAGUUCACCAUGGAUGUCAGGAGGAGUGAAGGACCCCGGAUGAACGUCAACAGAGGCCUGCAGCUCCCGGCAGGAUCUUCAUCUAAGAUCACAGAGCAGAAUCUGAAGGGUACAGACAUUGACUCAGACAUCCUGAAGCUCAAGUACAUCUUGACCAAAGACCCUCCAGCCGGCAAACUACAGCUCAGCAAGAACGAACGUGUGGAGAAGAUUUCUGUUAAAGGUCCCAUUCAGAGCUUCACCCAGGACGACGUCAACAAAGGCCUACUGCAGUACAGCCAUGAGAAAGGGGAGAAGGGAGGCAGCCUGUCUUUCAAGUUCAACCUGGUCGAUCCAGAGGGCAACAAACUGAUCGACCAAUCCUUCUUCAUCAGUGUGCUCGAGGAUCGUCUUCCUCCGUCUGUGGUAGUGAACAAAGGCCUGGUGCUGGAUGAAAACACAAUGAAGAAGUUGACCACCCUGCAGCUGUCAGCCAGCGACCAGGACAGCGAACCAAGCGAGCUCAUCUACCGCAUCACCAAACAGACGAGCCUGGGUCACCUGGAGCACGCAGCCAGCCCAGGUACCAGAAUCAGCACAUUCACCCAGGCUGACCUAGCAUCACGCAGCAUCCAGUAUGUCCACACCAGUGAAGAAGAGAAGCAUGCAGAUCAGUUCUCCUUUGUCGUGUCAGAUGGGACAAAUGAGUGCAGAUGCACAGAGCUCCUUUUUGGCCAAACAUUCUACAUCACCAUCAAGCCAGUGGACGACUCCCUGCCUCUGCUCCAGGUUCCUGGCAUGAGGGUCCAGGAAGGGGUGCGAAAAACCAUCACUGAAUUUGAGCUGAAAGCCACUGAUGCAGACACUGAGGCGGAGUCCAUUGUCUUCACUGUUGUCCAGGCUCCUCGACAUGGCACCAUUGAGCGCACAAGCAACGGCCAACACUACCGGCAGACCAGCAGCUUCACCAUGGACGACAUCUACCAGAACCGCAUCAGCUACAACCACGAUGGCUCCAACUCGCUCAAGGACCGCUUCACCUUCACUGUGGCUGAUGGCACCAACCUGCUCUUCAUGGUGGAGGAGGGCAGCAAGGAGAUCAUCACGGCUGCUCCACAGAAGUUCAAGAUCGAUAUUCUGCCAGUUGACGAUGGCACGCCACGUAUUGUCACCAACCUGGGACUGCAGUGGCUGGAGUACAUGGAGAACAAGGCCACCAACCUGAUCACCAAGAAGGAGCUGCUGACCAUGGACCCGGACACAGAUGAUGGACAGCUGGUUUAUGAAAUCACCACAGAGCCAAAGCAUGGCUUCCUGGAGAGCAAGCUGAAACCUGGCAACACCAUCACCACCUUCACACAAGCUGAUAUCAAUCUGGGUCUGAUCCGCUACGUGCUGCAUCAGGAGAACGUUCAGGAAACCAUGGACAACUUCAAGUUCCUGGUCAAAGACAGCAAACCAAAUGUGGUCAGCGACAAUGUCUUCCACAUCCAGUGGUCACUCAUCAGCUUUGAGCACAAAAGCUACAAUGUGAGUGAGAAGGCAGGCACGGUGGCCGUGACGGUGAAGCGAACAGGUAACCUCAACCAGUACGCCAUUGUGCUCUGCCGUACUGAACAGGGCAGCGCCACCUCCACCAGCAGUGUCGGAUCCCGUCCAGGCCAGCAGGACUAUGUGGAAUAUGCUGGACAGGUACAGUUUGAUGAGCGCGAGGACACCAAGGUGUGCACCAUAGUCAUUAAUGAUGACAAGGUGUUUGAGGGAAGGGAGAACUUCCACGUGGAGCUGAGCAUGCCUGUGUAUGCGCUGUUGGGUGGAAACACGCGUGCCAUCGUCAACAUCAACGAUACUGAGGACGAACCAACUCUGCAGUUUGAUAAGAAGACCUACCACGUCAACGAGAGCACGGGCUUCAUCCACGCACCCAUCGAGAGAAAAGGUGACACCUCCAGCACCGUGUCUGCUCUCUGCUACACCGUGACCAAGUCGGCUCAGGGCAGCAGCCUCCACGCUCUGGAGUCCGGCUCUGACUACAAGAGCCGCGGCAUGAGCAACGACAACCGUGUCAUCUUCGGCCCCGGCAUCAGCAUGUCCACCUGUGACGUUAAGCUCAUCGACGACAGCGAGUACGAGCUGUCUGAGGAGUUUGAGCUGGUGCUUUCAGAUGCUUCGGAUAACGCUCGCAUGGGGGACGUGACGGUGGCCAAGGUCGUCAUCGAUGGACCCAAUGAUGCAUCCACUGUUUCUCUUGGGAACGCCACCUUUACUUUCAGUGAAGAUGCCGGCACAAUUGAAAUACCAGUGCUGCGCCAUGGCAGUGACCUGUCGUCUGUUACCUCUGUGUGGUGUGCCACCCGGCCUUCAGACCCCCCCUCAGCCAGCCCGGGGGUCGACUACAUCCCCAGCUCCAAGAAGGUGGAGUUCAAACCUGGUAAAACUGAGGAGACCUGCAGUUUAACCAUCAUGGAUGACAUCCAGAACCCGUCCAUUGAAGGAUCUGAGUCUUUUGUGGUGUUCCUCAGUUCUCCUCAGGGUGCUGUCCUCCAAGAGCCCUACGAAGCAAACGUUGUCAUCACUGACACCUUCCAGGACAUUCCCAGCAUGCAGUUUGAGAAGAGCGUCUACACUGUGAAGGAGAAAGACCGUGUCCUCCACAUCCCCAUCUUCCGCACAGGUGACCUCUCCUUCAAGUCAUCAGUACGUUGUUUCACUCGGACCAUGUCAGCCAUGGUGAUGGAUGACUUCGAGGAGAGGAGGAAUACCGACGAGUCGCGCAUCACUUUCCUCAGAGGAGAGAAGGUGAAAAACUGCACAGUUCACGUCAAUGAUGACUCUGUAUUUGAGCCCGAAGAGGAGUUCCAGGUGCACCUUGGGACACCGCUGGGUGACCACUGGAGUGGGGCCAUGGUGGGCGCUAGCGACAUUGUCACCAUCACCAUCACCAAUGAUGAAGAUGCGCCCACCAUUGAGUUUGAGCAGGCGUCCUACCAAGUCAGAGAGCCUCCCGGUCCGGAUGGCAUUGAGGUGCUUAACAUCAAGGUGAUACGUAGGGGGGAUCUGGACCGGACCUCCAAGAUCCGCUGCAGCACCCGAGAUGGAUCAGCCCAGUCUGGAGUGGACUACAAUCCCAAGAGCCGAGUGCUCAAAUUCACCCCUGGGAUGGACCACAUCCUGUUCAAAGUUGAGAUUCUGUCCAAUGAGGACAGGGAGUGGCACGAGUCCUUGUCAUUAGUCCUUGGCCCUGACGACCCUGUGGAGGCGGUGCUCGGGGAGAUCACUAUGGCGACGGUGACCAUUUUGGACCAGGAGGCCUCAGGCAGUCUCAUCCUCCCUGCCACGCCUAUUGUGGUCUCUCUUGCUGACUAUGAUCACGUCCAAGAGGUGACCAAGGAAGGCAGUAAGAAGACACCCUCUCCAGGUUACCCUCUUGUAUGCGUCACCCCCUGUGACCCUCAUUACCCCAAGUACUCUGUGAUGAAGGAGCGCUGCGAGGAGGCGGGCAUCAACCAGACCCAAGUUCACUUCUCCUGGGAAGUCGCGGCGCCCACUGACACCAGUGGUGCCCGGUCCCCCUUCGAAACAGUCACAGACACCACCCCAUAUACCAGCGUCAACCAUAUGGUCCUGGACAGUAUUUAUUUCAGCCGUCGCUUCCAUGUCCGCUGCGUUGCUCAAGCUAGGGAUAAGGCGGGUCACCUUGGAACACCACUGAGGAGCAACAUCGCCACCAUUGGCACAGAGGGCUCCAUCUGCCACACGCCUGUUACCACGGGAACCGCCAGGGGCUUCCAGGCUCAGUCCUUCAUCGCCACACUCAAAUACCUGGACGUCAAGCACAAGGAGCACCCCAACCGAAUCCAUAUCUCAGUGCAGAUCCCCCAUCAGGACGGCAUGCUCCCACUGGUGUCCACCAUGCCGCUGCACAACCUGCACUUCCUGCUGUCAGAGUCCAUCUAUAGACAGCAGCACGUCUGCUCCAACCUGGUUACCCUCAAAGACCUGCAGGGUGUCUCCGAGACAGGUUUCCUGGACGAUGUAUCUUAUGACAGCAUCUCUCUGGGGCCGGGUUAUGACCGCCCUUACCAGUUCAACCCCAACGUGCGGGAGGCCAAGAGCAUCCAGCUCUACAAGCACCUCAACCUCAAGAGCUGCAUCUGGACAUUUGACGCCUACUACGACAUGACUGAGCUCAUCGACGUCUGCGGGGGCUCCGUCACCGCCGAUUUCCAGGUUCGGGACUCGGCGCAGUCCUUCCUGACGGUGCAGGUUCCUCUCUACGUGUCUUACAUCUACGUGACAGCACCGAGAGGCUGGGCCUCUCUGGAGCAUCACACCGAGAUGGAGUUCUCCUUCUUCUACGACACCGUGCUCUGGAGGACAGGUAUCCAGACUGACAGCGUCCUCUCAGCCAGACUGCAGAUCAUCAGGAUCUACAUCAGAGAAGACGGACGACUGGUGAUUGAGUUCAAAACCCACGCAAAAUUCAGAGGUCAGUUUGUCCUUGAACAUCACACUCUGCCAGGCCACAAGUCCCACCUGAUGGCUCCUGACCACCUCGGAGGCAUCGAGUUUGACAUUCAGCUGCUCUGGAGCGCUCAAACCUUUGACUCACCGUACCAGCUGUGGAGGGCCACCAGCUCUUACAGCAGGAAGGACUACUCUGGAGAGUACACCGUCUUCUUGAUCCCAUGCACUGUCCAGCCCACUCAGCCCUGGAUCGAUCCCGGCGACAAACCUCUGUCCUGUACCGCUCACGCUCCAGAGAAGUUUCUAGUGCCGAUCGCCUUCCAGCAGACCAACCGGCCUGUUCCUGUUGUUUAUUCCCUCAACACGGAGUUCCAGCUGUGUAACAAUGAGAAGGUGUUCAUGAUGGACCCCGCCACAACUGAUGUCUCUAUGGCAGAGAUGGACUACAAGGGAGCGUUCUCAAUGGGUCAGACUUUGUAUGGAAGGGUGUUGUGGAACCCCGAGCAGAACUUGAACGCAGCCUACAAACUGCAGCUGGAGAAGGUUUACCUCUGCACUGGAAGGGACGGAUAUGUUCCCUUUUUUGAUCCCACAGGGACGCUGUACAACGAGGGGCCACAGUAUGGCUGCAUCCAGCCCAACAAGCACCUCAAACAUCGCUUCCUACUGCUGGAUCGUAAACAACCUGACGUAUGUGACAAAUUUUUCCACGAUGUUCCCUUCGAGGCUCACUUAGCCUCAGACAUCCCAGAUCUGCAGUCCAUGACAGCCAUGCCGGGUGUUGAUGGCUUUACAAUGAAGGUUGAUGCUCUCUACAAGGUGGAGGCGGGUCACCAGUGGUACCUGCAGGUGAUUUAUGUGAUCAGCCCAGAGUCACGGUCCAGUCCCAGGAUUCAGCGCUCGGUGACGUAUGAGCUGAGCCGCCCUAAGCGUGACCUGGUGGAUCGCAGCGGGCGCCUGACGCUGGAUGAGUCGCUGAUCUACGACAACGAGGGCGACCAGGUGAAGAACGGUACCAACAUGAAGUCGCUCCGUCUGGAGGCCGGGCCCUCUGCCACCUUUAACGCCCACGUGGGCAGUUCGGUGGGCGGGGGAGUGGCCGCCGUGACCCUACUGGUCCUGGUCCUGCUGGCCUCCUGCUUCCUGUUCCGCCGCUGCCGACGGUCGGCCAAGAAGAAGAGCAAGAAGGCUCAGAAAGUGUACGAGGAGUACCCGCUCAACACCAAGGUGGAGGUGUGCAUGGACAAGUGUGUGGAGAAGAACUUCAGCACCAAACACUGCACCGUGAGGAACGUCAAUAUCCUCAACCGCAACCAGGAGCCCAACAGCAAGGCCAAGGUCAAACAGGUCAACCUGGAGGUCAAACUCCACAACAACCUCAACGACGGCACUGAGGUCUGAAACACUGGUGAGGAAGAGUAGGAGAGGAGGAGAUGGAGAGGAGGAGCAGGACGGAAAAAAAGGUAUUUUCUAAAAGAAAGUUUGUACUUAUGGAACGAGAUGUUUGUUAAUGUAUUUUUAUACCACUUUGAAAAAGGGAAGAGUGAGACAUGCAGAAAGCUACGCAGAGUUUUAAUCAUUUUGCAACUGGGCUACCUCAGGAAUCCACAAAACCACUCAGCUGCGUGAAACCGCCAAAACAUCUGCAUCUGAUCAUCCAAACUCCAUCUGAAACUGCUGUCCAUUGCAUUACUGUGUAACUUGACAUUUACGUCCUUUUUAGCACCAAGAUGGUGACUGGUAGCUCAGACACUGGUGAUUGUUUGACAAAAACACUUCUCUGCUGCAUUGAGUCAUUUCACUGCUACUAAAUGUCACUACUAUAGAGUGGAAGCCAGUGUAGAAGUCCUCCUUUUCUGCAUAUAUCUUUAUCAUUUACUGUUUCUGCUGAUAAAUUAACUCAAAAGACUCUGAUUAAACAGAACAAAGUUGAAUUUUCCUGUGGAGCGACUUGUACACCAGCUACAGCUGCUUCUGACUGCUGUGAAAGUAUUAAGCACAUAGAGUGUGCUGCUAUCGCUCGAGGGCGAAUGAGUGCAGAGUGUAAAUAAUAACAAAAAUGAAUGAUACCUAUUCAAGUGCAAUUAUGCCAUAGCUUUUGUUAAUCCUUCCCUCAUGAGCAGGAACUUUAUUUGCAUUUAAAAGAAACUUGUAUUUCAAGCCUUACAUAGAGACAUUUGUACUGUCAAGUUGAACAAACAGAUAAUUAUUCUUGUUUCAACACAAAAACAUAUUUUUUUGUUUGUACUGUACACACAGCUGCCAAUAUUAAGUGCCAUGCAGUAUUUUUCCUCAUGAAUUUCAAAACUAAUCAUCCAAAGUGUUUUUUUUUUCUUUUUCAAGAGUGAGAAAAUUUCCAUGUGAUUGUAAUAAACCAGACGCCACCGUUUGGACA
rnacentral:lncRNA from 15 species